UACGUAGGGCGCAAGCGUUGUCCGGAAUUAUUGGGCGUAAAGAGCUCGUAGGCGGUUUGUCGCGUCUGCCGUGAAAGUCCGGGGCUCAACUCCGGAUCUGCAGUGGGUACGGGCAGACUAGAGUGCGGUAGGGGAGAUUGGAAUUCCUGGUGUAGCGGUGGAAUGCGCAGAUAUCAGGAGGAACACCAAUGGCGAAGGCAGAUCUCUGGGCCGUAACUGACGCUGAGGAGCGAAAGCAUGGGGAGCGAACAGG
rnacentral:rRNA from 1 species